UACGUAGGGGGCUAGCGUUGUCCGGAAUCAUUGGGCGUAAAGAGCGUGUAGGCGGCUCGGUAAGUCCGCUGUGAAAGUCCAGGGCUCAACCCUGGAAUGCCAGUGGAAACUGUCGAGCUAGAGUCCGGAAGAGGCGAGUGGAAUUCCUGGUGUAGCGGUGAAAUGCGCAGAUAUCAGGAGGAACACCAAUGGCGAAGGCAGCUCGCUGGGACGGUACUGACGCGUGAGACGCGAAAGCGUGGGGAGCAAACAGG
rnacentral:rRNA from 1 species